rnacentral:snRNA from 1 species
GGGUGAGGGCAAUUUGGCUCUCCAGGGUUGAUUCACUGGUCUGGCUGGCUGGGUGGGUGUCCCCUUCCUCCCUCACCGCUCCAUGUGCGUCCUUCCCGGAGCUGUGCGCUCUGUGGAAGAGGACGGCCUUCUCCGAACAGAGAUGGACUGGUCCCCCGACCCAGGGUAUCCAAGAGGUAACUGCUCCCCUGCUAGACCCUCCGUUGUUGGGCAGUGACGUGGAGGAGAGAGAGAGGAGGUCCGGAGCAGAGAGGGAACACAAUUCUUUAUACGCACGGGCACCUCAGAG